ACAGAAGAUGUCGACACAAACAACUUCUUCUUCUUCAAAUUUUUUUUCUUCAGAUCUGUGAUGGUGAUGAACACAAUCAAGUUUAAGAUAUUCUCCUAUAAAAAUAUUCUCAUACGUUUAAACGGUGAAUUCAUGAGUUUGAAUGGGUUGCAAUGACUAAUUAAAGGUGCUGGUUAUGAAGUCGAGAAGUUAAUGAAAUAAAGGUCUUUUGAUGGUUGAAGAAUCGAUUUAACAUAGGAUUUACAAUGAAUUGGAGUUCUAAACAGAUCAGGAAUGAUGGGUUUUGUUUGAAUUGGGUUGCUGAGAAUGAUUCUGAUAUAAUAUCCAGGAUGGGAAGAAGACGAAGAAGAAAUGAGGAGAUCUGUUUUGCUAUGGAUGAAUUUAGGGAUUGAGCUCGAUUUGAGAACAAGAAUAAAGCAGAAUUGUGGUUUUGAGAUUUGGUACUGCUGCUGUGGUGAUGAACAAAGAAAGCUGGGAUUAUGUUGUUGAUGUUGAGAUUGAGGAAGACAAUGGUUGCAGGUGAUUGCAGGAGGAACUGGAGUUGGUGGUGUUAAGCGUAUGGUGGUGAACCUGAUAUGGAGAUGGUAUUGGUGGCGUUUGUAAGCUUGUAGUUGUGAUGCAGAUGAAGCUAAGCCUGAGAUGGAGUUGUUGUUGGUUCAUAUUCGCAGGAGAUGGCAGGGUCUUCUGGAAAGGUUUGCAGUUUAGGUGUGGAAGAAUGAUGGUGUUGUUGUUGUUCUGGUGUUAGAGAAAUUACAGGUGCAAUGAAUCCAUGGUUGAAUUACAGAGAAGGUUUGAUAAACUGAGUGUUGCAGUAUGGCGAUGAACUGAAGCGGGUAGGGAAAUGAAGCUGCAGGUGCUUAGUAUUACGGAAUGUAUGUUAGUGGGUUGAAUCGCAGAAAUGAUUUUGUUGUUGUGUUGCAGCUGAUAGUAUGGCCUAAGAUAGUUUUGGAACUGCAGAAACGGUGCGAGAAUGCAGUGGAAUGAGGUGCUGAGACAUGGGUUUUAGAAGUAGAACUGAGAUGGUGAACCAAUUGGUGUUGUUGUCCGUUGAUUGACAGAAGAGAAUAAUUUAGGCUUGAUGUUGGUGGUGGUUGAUAGUAUUGAAGAUUAUGUUUUGUGUGUGUGUGAAUUACAGGUCAAAUGGGAUUUUAAUUUUUAUUGAAAUUGAAGUAUAGGCAAUUUUCAGUAAAAAAGAUCAUAGUUAAUUAACCUGCAAUUAAGAUAUAGACGAAUCCCCUUUCAGUUUUCA